GUGUAAGUAUAAAUAAUUUUACUUUGAAACUGCGAAUGGCUCAUUAUAUCAGUUAUAGUUUAUUAGAAAUACUUUACUACUUGGAUAACCGUAGUAAUUCUAGGGCUAAUACAUGAAUAAAUCCUCAACUUCGGAAGAGGUGUGUUUAUUAGUAUGAAAACCAUAUAUCUUCGGAUAUAAUAGUGAGUAAUAAUAACCUUUCAUAUCGUAUGUCGUAAGAUAACGAUAGUUCUUUCAAGUUUCUGCCCUAUCAGCUUUCGAUGGUAGUAUAUGGGACUACCAUGGCAGUAACGGGUAACGAAGAAUUUGGGUUCGAUUUCGGAGAGGGAGCCUGAGAGAUGGCUACCACAUCCAAGGAAGGCAGCAGGCGCGUAAAUUACCCAAUCCUGACAUAGGGAGGUAGUGACAAUAAAUCACAAUGCGGAACUAUUUAGUUUUGCAAUUGGAUUGAGAACAAUGUACAAAUGUUAUCGAUAAACAAUUGGAGGGCAAGUCUGGC
rnacentral:rRNA from 1 species